UUUAACCUACGGGAGGCAGCAGUGGGGAAUAUUGCACAAUGGGGGAAACCCUGAUGCAGCGACGCCGCGUGAAGGAUGAAGUAUUUCGGUAUGUAAACUUCUAUCAGCAGGGAAGAAAAUGACGGUACCUGACUAAGAAGCCCCGGCUAACUACGUGCCAGCAGCCGCGGUAAUACGGAGGAUGCGAGCGUUAUCCGGAUUUAUUGGGUUUAAAGGGUGCGCAGGCGGCGUGUCAAGUCAGCGGUAAAAUGUCGGGGCUCAACCCCGGCCGGCCGUUGAAACUGGCGUGCUCGAGUUGGAGAGAA
rnacentral:rRNA from 1 species